rnacentral:rRNA from 1 species
GACGAACGCUGGCGGCGUGCUUAACACAUGCAAGUCGAACGGAAAGGCCUCUUUCGGGGGGUACUCGAGUGGCGAACGGGUGAGUAACACGUGAGUAACCUGCCCUUGACUUUGGGAUAACUUCAGGAAACUGGGGCUAAUACCGGAUAGGAGCUCCUGCUGCAUGGUGGGGGUUGGAAAGUUUCGGCGGUUGGGGAUGGACUCGCGGCUUAUCAGCUUGUUGGUGGGGUAGUGGCUUACCAAGGCUUUGACGGGUAGCCGGCCUGAGAGGGUGACCGGCCACAUUGGGACUGAGAUACGGCCCAGACUCCUACGGGAGGCAGCAGUGGGGAAUAUUGCACAAUGGGUGGAAGCCUGAUGCAGCAACGCCGUGUGCGGGAUGACGGCCUUCGGGUUGUAAACCGCUUUCGCUCAUGACGAAGCUUUGUGUGACAGUAGUGGGUAAAGAAGCACCGGCUAACUACGUG